rnacentral:rRNA from 1 species
GAGGAAUAUUGGGCAAUGCCCGCAAGGGUGACCCAGCAACGCCGCGUGGAGGAUGAAUGUCGUAAGAUUGUAAACUCCUGUUAGAGGGGAAGAAUAGUACCGGUUGGACCGGUAUAUGACUGUACCCUCAGAGAAAGCCUCGGCUAACUACGUGCCAGCAGCCGCGGUAAUACGUAGGGGGCAAGCGUUGUCCGGAUUUACUGGGUGUAAAGGGCGCGCAGGCGGGAUAAAAAGUCAGUGGUGAAAUCCUACAGCUUAACUGUAGAACUGCCUUUGAUACUUUUAUUCUUGAGUUCGGGAGAGAGAGACGGAAUUCCAGGUGUAGUGGUGAAAUACGUAGAUAUCUGGAAGAACACCAGUUGCGAAGGCGGUCUCUUGGUCCGACACUGACGCUGAGGCGCGAAAGCGUGGGGAGCAAACA